AUUGAACGCUGGCGGCGUGCCUAACACAUGCAAGUCGAGCGGCAGCGCGGGAGCAAUCCUGGCGGCGAGCGGCGGACGGGUGAGCAAUAUUUGGGAAUCUGCCUAUUAGUGGGGGACAACCCGGGGAAACUCGGGCUAAUACCGCAUACGCACUACGGUGGAAAGCCGGGGACCGCAAGGCCUGGCGCUAAUAGAUGAGCCCAAAUCGGAUUAGCUAGUUGGUGAGGUAAUGGCUCACCAAGGCUACGAUCCGUAGCUGGUCUGAGAGGACGACCAGCCACACCGGAACUGAGACACGGUCCGGACUCCUACGGGAGGCAGCAGUGGGGAAUAUUGGACAAUGGGCGAAAGCCUGAUCCAGCGACGCCGCGUGGGUGAAGAAGGCCUGCGGGUUGUAAAGCCCUUUCGGUGGGGAAGAAAAGCCUCGACCUAACACGUCGGGGUCUUGACGUAACCCAAAAAAGAAGCACCGGCUAACUCUGUGCCAGCAGCCGCAGUAA
rnacentral:rRNA from 1 species